rnacentral:rRNA from 1 species
GACGAACGCUGGCGGCGUGCUUAACACAUGCAAGUCGAACGGAAAGGCCCUGCUUUUGUGUGGUGCUCGAGUGGCGAACGGGUGAGUAACACGUGAGUAACCUGCCCUUGACUUUGGGAUAACUUCAGGAAACUGGGGCUAAUACCGGAUAGGAGCUCCUGCUGCAUGGUGGGGGUUGGAAAGUUUCGGCGGUUGGGGAUGGACUCGCGGCUUAUCAGCUUGUUGGUGGGGUAGUGUCUUACCAAGGCUUUGACGGGUAGCCGGCCUGAGAGGGUGACCGGCCACAUUGGGACUGAGAUACGGCCCAGACUGCUACGGGAGGCAGCAGUGGGGAAUAUUGCAAAAUGGGCGGAAGCCUGAUGCAGCAACGCCGCGUGCGGGAUGACGGCCUUCGGGUUGUAAACCGCUUUCGCCUGUGACGAAGCGUGAGUGACGGUAACGGGUAAAGAAGCACCGGCUAACUACGUG